GUUUCUGUAGUUGAAUUGAGUACAACGGCGGCUUUUCAGGUCGUAGGUUUUGGAGAGAGGCCAAGCAGAAACU
rnacentral:tRNA from 1 species